rnacentral:lncRNA from 1 species
UAAUUAUUCAGUGCUUACAAUUAGUAAGCACUACGAUCUCGCUAAGGGCUGGCACGCAUCUCACUCAGUGUAUCAUUCACAUCCAUUGGUUUGAAGUGUCUUUGGGGCCCUGCACUGUUAAUGAGUCACACGUCUCCAUCCAGCCCCCACAUACCUCUUUAUCACCUUCAGGACUUUGUUGGUUUGUCCUCUCAAGCCCUACCAAGUUCUGUGGCUUCUCUGCCACGCCUGUCCUUGGGUCCCCUCCGUGCUAUCUUGCUCUAAAGAUUCCUUGUUUUGUCACAGGCUCUGUGUGAGGCAAUUCUCAAUGUUCUUGCCCCAUCCAUUGAUCCCUUCUUAUCAUAUCUUCCGAAGCAUAAAUAAUUUGUUUUAAAAAACUUAAAACGCUCUCAGCUACCAAAGCCCUAAAGGGCUUCUCCCAGGCCCUCUGCUCUGUACGCAGGUUGGUCCUCCGAUACCAUUUCAGCUGAUGGUUCUACAGUCACCAUGCUCAGUCAUGCGACCCUCCAACUUCUGUCACGCUAUGCCACUCUAGGCCUGGGUGAGACAGUCAGAUUUGUGGAGCAUGGACAUUGGCAGAAAUGAAAGGAGGAGAUAACUGAAAUUUCAUUUGUUAUUAGAAGUCAGAUCAUCCCCAUGAAAGAUGACACACAGCUAUCAAACCUCCGGAAAGACAAAUGGUGAUUAUGUUUUGACUGGAAUUGUCAAGAGCUUUAUCUCUUUUGUCCCCUCAUCUUCCAAGUGGCUGUCGCAAGAAACUAAACAAAAACCCUGUUGCAUGAUGAAAACUGUCAAAGCAUUUUUUUUUAAUGCGGAAGAAACUGAGGUCAAAUGCCUUUAACACAAUGUCUUUACUGUAAAACCACUCUGUCACUAGCCAUGGGUAAGCACUGGGGAUAUCUGUAGGCAUAGUGAAGCUAUGCUUGGCUCCUGAGGAACUACAAGCAACACUCAAAUGUUCACAGUAACUUAACUGAGGGAUCCUCUACACCAGGCUGAGUUUCCUCCCAGAAAGGAAGAAAGAUUAAAAUCGAUGCACAGGUGUGAUCCUGAUCCUGUUGCUAAAAACGUUCUGUUUGCUCUUCUAG